UGUGGCGUAGAGAACAAGAGGAACACACAUGGUCGCUCACUCUCAUCGACUCGUCUGGCUAGGCACACGUAGACGCGAUAUGCGCAUGAAUGUCUCGUCAAAAUUGGUUCACCAUCAUUGGAAGACAUGACUUAAUUUUGUAGUUUUAUUUUGCUACAAUUCAAUUUUGUUUUAUCGAAAUAAUUUGGUGCAUGCAAUGACAUGGUGUGGAGUCUAGAUAAGGUACAUGAAACUUAUCCGGUUCAGUUACGCGAAGUGGAGAUCAUGUUAGUGCCCUGAUCACGCAUCUAGUAACCUCUAUAUAAACUGUGC
rnacentral:lncRNA from 1 species